UGUGCUACCACUGAUGCAUGAGGCAGGCCUUUGUGAUCUGGCAGAGUAAGGGAUGGAGCUGCUGGGGAUGGGAGAGCGGAGGGAGCUGGAGAAGAAGGCCGUGUGUGUGUGUGUUUCACGUUUUUCUUGGCGACAGGGAGGAGUUGUGCGUGCGGAUUUUGCUGAGCCGAUGGAGUUUGUUUUAUUAGAGAGCUCCCCCCUUGUUGACAACGAAAUGCAGGCGGUUGCCUUGACAUGGCUUUCAUUCACCGCCUCCCUCGCGCACAUAACACACCCAGGAUGAAUAGGCAGAGAAGGUGUGUAGAGAGCUGACCUGGAAGGACAAGGCCGUCUGGGAGGGAGCAGGUGACCGGGCGGGGAGGAGGAGUGAGGAUAACAGAACGGAAGGGGGAUGGUGGAAAACAAGGGACAGUCAGUGACACCCUCCUGGCCACAUUUAAAAUUGAUGGCUGCUGCUCUUAAGGUUGAAAGGCUGUUGUGUCGGGAGGACGAAUAAUAGCAGAGAGGGAUGCAGUGAUAUGAGGAGCCUUUGAAGUACAUCUGUGUAGAUGAUCAGAAAUCUAUAUAUGGAUAGAGAUAUUUCUUUUGUGUAUUACAUGGUGAUUGCAGCCAGAAUGAAAGGAAAUACAUUACAUGAACGAUGUUUUACAAGGAAUAUGAAGACUGUCCAGUCCACCCCCCUGGCUCCAGGCAAGAGCUUUCAUACACUGAAUCGCAUUCCUGCUGAACAUCUUCACUCAAACUGAUUUUGCCCCCUUUAAAGUAUGCAACAAGCAGCAGUUAACAAGAUACCCAGUAGCAGACGUAUAUGGCUGUCCAAUAAAGAAA